AAAAUUUAGUUAAAACCAUAACAUUAGUUUGUCAAACUAAAAUUAUUUAAAAAUAAUUUUUA
rnacentral:tRNA from 1 species